UGUCACUUCACCCUGUCCUUCCCACUGUUAUGGCCCCUUACACACUGAUUGUCACUGUUUUAGGGUCUGCUUUCUCCAUUAGGCUAUAUGUUCUUCACAGGCAGGAAACGUGCUCGGUUCGUCCCCGCAUUCCUAGCAUCUGGCACUGGACCUCACAUAGAACACACACUCAAUAAAUGCUGAAUGCUUUAGUUUGUUCUGUGAGCACAUCCCACUCACUGAGCAGACCCUGGCUCAGUUUUCUCGUCUAACCUCAUUAGGGAUUAAUGUAAGACUCUGAGCAGUCUGAUGCAGGGUGAGAAGGUUCAGGUUAGAUUGUCCUCAUCAACCCCAAUUAGUGCUUGAUUGAGAAGGUCACAGUCCAGGCUUAUGUAGUGAGAAUCCAUUAUUUAAUUGAUUAAAACAGGUUUUCAGUUGGCAGCUUGACAAGUGCAUACUGCACAGCCUCACCCACUCCACCUACAGGGCUAGUAUGUGACAGAUUUAGGUGGAAAAUGCUUGGAAUGCCUUGAAGAUCCUGCUCCAGCCAGCCAGCUGGGUGCUACUGGGACAGGGAGGUCCCUGGUGACAAAUGUGACCUGAUUACUGGAGCUCUUUCUUCCUAGGAUGGGCCUUGGGAGCAUGGCUAAUUGCUAAACCAGGGACUGAGAGAAGAUGAGAAGCACGUCUCCUGAAUCCUGCCCUGUUGUACCAUUGACCCCAUUUGGGAACCUGGACCUUGUCUUUUCAUACUAAUCGUCAGCUGAACUAUCAGGACGGUUUUAUAAAUCCCUAAUUCCUCUAAGGGAAUUUUGUGAUGAUGCCCUUCCAAGGAAAGGAAACAGCAAUAAAUUGAAUGCAACUGAUGUCUCUUCAAAGAUUUGCUGUCUACCAAGACUUUCAAGCAUCGAAAAUAUCUUUAUCUUUUCCUCUCAGCAUUGAUGGGGAGGCCAUUUAGGAGAGAGUGAAAUAACCUGCAAAGAGAAAGAAAUGACACCUAUAAAAAUAAUAUAGGAAGCAAUAAAACAACACUGCAAACAGUUUGGCAGGUGGAGAGGAAAGAAUCACCUUCAUAAAUCCAUCAUUCUAGAGUGAGCCUUGUGUUUGUGUGGCUGUGCUUAUGCACGGGAAUGGACACAGCUGCAAUCACCCUCCACAUACCCACACUCUGUAACCUACUUUCUCCACCUAACAUGAUGUCAUGAGCAUUUUUCUAUGUUGCUACAUAGUCUUUAUAAUUACUUAAAGUGACUGUAAAAUAUUCCAUUCACUGCUAUUGUUGAUAUUUAGAUUGCUUGUAUGAUUUUUCCUUUGUUCAUUUUUAUGAAUUGACGAAUAGUAGGUAUUUCACUCAGUGCCUUGAAAAACAUAUAUAUCUAGUAGGUGCUUUAUUUCAUUCCCAUCUCUCUCCUUCAUAUAUAUCUUUGUAUCUGGGCUUUUCCUUAGGAUAAAUUUCUUAGGAUAAAUAUUGAGUUCAAGCGUUUAAACAAUUGUAUGACUUUUUACAUGGUAUUUCACACACGUUGCUUUAUUAUGAUGAUAAUAACAAUGAUGAUAAUAUGAAUAACUCCACAAUUACACAUAGUAUUUCACAAAAUCCUCCCAACAUCUCUGAGGGUAGUCAUUACCCCAUUUUAGAUGAGAAGCAGAUGUCCACAAGUUUAAGUAAUUUGUCCAGCGGCUAUGUCUGUUCUGUUUUCGUCUUUCUCCCCAGGGUUAAGUACAAUGUCUGGCUCAUAGAAUGACUGCAGUAAAUGUUUCCUGAAUGAAGUCCACAAGUCGGGGUGUCAUGAUUCAAACCCAGAUCUGUUUCAGUUCAAAGCCUGUGCUCUUCCCCUUAAACCUUGCCAACUGGCUUUUGACGUUCAUUUGGGUGGGGGUAGAAAUGCAGGCGUUGCCAUACUGUUUAAUUAAGGACUCAGGCCUAGUGAAGCACUUCAGGUUUAGGGCAAACAUGCAAGAGCUAAUGAUGUGCGGUGGGUGGGAGUUUGGGACCCUAAUUAUCGUUACCCUAGAACUGUACCUGCUUGCCAUUUUCCUGAGAUCGCCCAUCCAGACCUAUUAUAUAAUUCUAAGAACAAUGCCAUUGGAGAGUGGUCCUAAGUGCUUGGUGGCCACAUUGAAUUCAGAGGGUUUGCUGUUGUCUUCUGGCUGUGUGACCUGAUUGUGCAUUUACAGAAAUGCUGUCCUCAUUGGAAUCAGUCUCUAAAACCCAACUGCAUGAGCUGAGGAGGUAGAGUAGCCCCCUGGACUAAACUUCCUUUGGCUCUAUCCUUCCUAUUUUCAGAGGAUGCUGAAAAGUGACCCAUCAUCCCAAAGAGCACCAGCCCCAAGAG
ensembl:lncRNA